CUAAUACCGAAUAAAGUCAAUUAAUUUGUUAAUUGAUGAAAGGAAGCCUUUAAAGCUUCGCUUGUAGAUGAGUCUGCGUCUUAUUAGCUAGUUGGUAGGGUAAAUGCCUACCAAGGCGAUGAUAAGUAACCGGCCUGAGAGGGUGAACGGUCACACUGGAACUGAGAUACGGUCCAGACUCCUACGGGAGGCAGCAGCUAAGAAUCUUCCGCAAUGGGCGAAAGCCUGACGGAGCGACACUGCGUGAAUGAAGAAGGUCGAAAGAUUGUAAAAUUCUUUUAUAAAUGAGGAAUAAGCUUUGUAGGAAAUGACGAAGUGAUGACGUUAAUUUAUGAAUAAGCCCCGGCUAAUUACGUGCCAGCAGCCGCGGUAAUACGUAAGGGGCGAGCGUUGUUCGGGAUUAUUGGGCGUAAAGGGUGAGUAGGCGGAUAUAUAAGUCUAUGCAUAAAAUACCACAGCUCAACUGUGGAACUCUAUUGGAAACUAUAUGUCUAGAGUCUGAUAGAGGAAGUUAGAAUUUCUGGUGUAAGG
rnacentral:rRNA from 1 species